UACAGAGGGGGCAAGCGUUGUUCGGAAUUACUGGGCGUAAAGGGCGCGUAGGCGGCCUGUUAAGUCGAACGUGAAAUCCCCGGGCUCAACCCGGGAACUGCGUCCGAUACUGGCAGGCUUGAAUCCGGGAGAGGGAUGCGGAAUUCCAGGUGUAGCGGUGAAAUGCGUAGAUAUCUGGAGGAACACCGGUGGCGAAGGCGGCAUCCUGGACCGGUAUUGACGCUGAGGCACGAAGGCCAGGGGAGCAAACGGG
rnacentral:rRNA from 1 species